AAGACGUGGUGAAUAAUUAAAGUGCGCCUCGUCUAUAAAUAAACCUCGUGAAUUGCUGGGAACUCUUUUAUGACUUGCUAGCUACAACGUAACUGGAAACAGUAGGCGUGAAUGCUUAAAAAUAGUAAGUGGAUAAAGACAAUCAGCAGCCAAGUUCCUAUAAAAUGGAGAAGGUUCAACGACCAUCGAAAGCACGUCGCUAGGACGGAAGCGAGUAGAGUAGGGGUCAAGUGACUCCGAAGCGCGAGGACACAUUAAAGUGUAAGAUAUGGUCUGAACUCUAAGGUGACUUAGAG
rnacentral:ncRNA from 1 species